GAGUUUGAUCGUGGCUCAGGACGAACGCUGGCGGCGUGCCUAAUACAUGCAAGUCGAGCGAGGGUUUUUAAGACCCUAGCGGCGGACGGGUGAGUAACACGUAGGCAACCUGCCUCUCAGACCGGGAUAACAUAGGGAAACUUAUGCUAAUACCGGAUAGGUUUUUGGAUUGCAUGAUCCGAAAAGAAAGAUGGCUUUUCGCUAUCACUGGGAGAUGGGCCUGCGGCGCAUUAGCUAGUUGGU
rnacentral:rRNA from 1 species